UACAGAGGUCCCAAGCGUUGUUCGGAUUCACUGGGCGUAAAGGGUGCGUAGGCGGUCGGGUAAGUCUGAUGUGAAAUCUCACAGCUUAACUGUGAAACUGCAUUGGAUACUAUCCGGCUCGAGGAAUGGAGGGGAGACUGGAAUACUUGGUGUAGCAGUGAAAUGCGUAGAUAUUCGCAAGAACACCAGUGGCGAAGGCGGCUCACUGGCCCGAUACUGACGCUGAGGCACGAAAGCGUGGGGAGCAAACAGG
rnacentral:rRNA from 1 species